UACGGGGGGGGCAAGCGUUGUUCGGAAUUACUGGGCGUAAAGGGCGCGUAGGCGGUCAGCACAAGUCAGUUGUGAAAUCUCCGAGCUUAACUCGGAAAGGUCAACUGAUACUGUGCGACUAGAGUGCGGAAGGGGCAACUGGAAUUCUUGGUGUAGCGGUGAAAUGCGUAGAUAUCAAGAGGAACACCUGCGGCGAAGGCGGGUUGCUGGGCCGACACUGACGCUGAGGCGCGAAAGCCAGGGGAGCGAACGGG
rnacentral:rRNA from 1 species